rnacentral:rRNA from 1 species
UCAUUCAGUUGGGCACUCUAGCGAGACUGCCGGUAAUAAACCGGAGGAAGGUGGGAUGACGUCAAAUCAUCAUGCCCCUUAUGACCUGGGCUACACACGUGCUACAAUGGUUGGUACAACGAGUUGCGAGUCGGUGACGGCGAGCUAAUCUCUUAAAGCCAAUCUCAGUUCGGAUUGUAGGCUGCAACUCGCCUACAUGAAGUCGGAAUCGCUAGUAAUCGCGGAUCAGCACGCCGCGGUGAAUACGUUCCCGGGCCUU